rnacentral:lncRNA from 1 species
GCAGAAACAUAACAUCCUAACUUGAAUAAUACAUAUACAUAACAUAAGCAUUUUAGGUUUUUAUUUUAAGCUUCUUCUUUGGCACUUCUAGCUCAUCAGUCUUUUCCUUAGCGAAAGGAGACUGCACCCACCGUGAUGGUUCACCUUUUCUCUUCUCCGGCAGCGGCGUACAUGGCUUCAAUGUAGCCUCAGUCUACUUCGGCCUACCUUUCUUCUUAGGUGCACCAUCAGCUUUA